UGCAGUCGAGCGGAUGAAGGGAGCUUGCUCCUGGAUUCAGCGGCGGACGGGUGAGUAAUGCCUAGGAAUCUGCCUGGUAGUGGGGGAUAACGUCCGGAAACGGGCGCUAAUACCGCAUACGUCCUGAGGGAGAAAGUGGGGGAUCUUCGGACCUCACGCUAUCAGAUGAGCCUAGGUCGGAUUAGCUAGUUGGUGGGGUAAAGGCCUACCAAGGCGACGAUCCGUAACUGGUCUGAGAGGAUGAUCAGUCACACUGGAACUGAGACACGGUCCAGACUCCUACGGGAGGCAGCAGUGGGGAAUAUUGGACAAUGGGCGAAAGCCUGAUCCAGCCAUGCCGCGUGUGUGAAGAAGGUCUUCGGAUUGUAAAGCACUUUAAGUUGGGAGGAAGGGCAGUAAGUUAAUACCUUGCUGUUUUGACGUUACCAACAGAAUAAGCACCGGCUAACUUCGUGCCAGCAGCCGCGGUAAUACGAAGGGUGCAAGCGUUAAUCGGAAUUACUGGGCGUAAAGCGCGCGUAGGUGGUUCAGCAAGUUGGAUGUGAAAUCCCCGGGCUCAACCUGGGAACUGCAUCCAAAACUACUGAGCUAGAGUACGGUAGAGGGUGGUGGAAUUUCCUGUGUAGCGGUGAAAUGCGUAGAUAUAGGAAGGAACACCAGUGGCGAAGGCGACCACCUGGACUGAUACUGACACUGAGGUGCGAAAGCGUGG
rnacentral:rRNA from 1 species